UCCCUGAUGGUUCAAUGGUUAAGACUUCACCUUCCAUUGGAGGGGGUGCAGGUUCAAUCCCUGGUCAGGGAG
rnacentral:tRNA from 1 species